UAGGGAAUCUUCCGCAAUGGACGAAAGUCUGACGGGGCAACGCCGCGUGAACGAAGAAGGCCUUCGGGUCGUAAAGUUCUGUUGUUAGGGAAGAACAAGUACCAGAGUAACUGCUGGUACCUUGACGGUACCUAACCAGAAAGCCACGGCUAACUACGUG
rnacentral:rRNA from 1 species